AGGACGAACGCUGGCGGCGCGCUUAACACAUGCAAGUCGUACGGGGCCCUUCGGGGUUCAGUGGCGAACGGGUGCGUAACACGUGAGUGACCUGCCCUUGUGCGGGGGAUAACCCGGGGAAACCCGAGCUAAUACCGCAUGAACUCAGACUGCUUCAUGGUGGAUUGAGGAAAGGUGCUGUAAGGCACCGCGCAGGGAGGGGCUCGCGGCGUAUCGAGGUAGUUGGUGAGGUAACGGCUCACCAAGCCGAUGACGCGUAGGGGGUCUGAGAGGAUGGCCCCCAG
rnacentral:rRNA from 1 species